rnacentral:rRNA from 1 species
CCUACGGGCGGCAGCAGUGAGGAAUAUUGGUCAAUGGCCGGAAGUCUGAACCAGCCAUGCCGCGUGCAGGUCAGUGCCCUAUUGGCUUUAAACUUCUUUUUUUCGGGAGCAAUAAUGGUCACGUGUGGCCAGACGAGAGUACCGUACGAAUAAGCAUCGGCUAACUCCGGGCCAGCAGCCGCGGUAAUACGGAGGGUGCAAGCGUUGUCCGGAAUCAUUGGGCGUAAAGAGUUCGUAGGUGGCAUAUUAAGUCUGAUGUUAAAUGCAGAAGCUCAACUUCUGUUCGGCACUGGAUACUGGUCAGCUUGAGUGCGGUAGCGGUAGAGGGAAUGCCUGGUGUAGCGGUGAAAUGCGUAGAUAUCAGGAGGAACAUCGGUUGCGUAAGCACUUUACUGGGCCGUAAUUGACACUGAGGAACGAAAGCCGGGGUAGCAAAUGGGAUUAGAUACCCUUGUAGUC